rnacentral:rRNA from 1 species
UACGGGGGGGGGCAGGCGUUGUUCGGAAUUACUGGGCGUAAAGGGCUCGUAGGUGGCCAACUAAGUCAGACGUGAAAUCCCUCGGCUUAACCGGGGAACUGCGUCUGAUACUGGAUGGCUUGAGUUCGGGAGAGGGAUGCGGAAUUCCAGGUGUAGCGGUGAAAUGCGUAGAUAUCUGGAGGAAUACCGGUGGCGAAGGCGGCAUCCUGGACCGGCAUUGACGCUGAGGAGCGAAAGCGUGGGGAGCAAACAGGG